rnacentral:rRNA from 1 species
UACGGAAGGCAGCAGUGGGGAAUAUUGCACAAUGGGCGCAAGCCUGAUGCAGCCAUGCCGCGUGUAUGAAGAAGGCCUUCGGGUUGUAAAGUACUUUCAGCGGGGAGGAAGGCGAUGCGGUUAAUAACCGCGUCGAUUGACGUUACCCGCAGAAGAAGCACCGGCUAACUCCGUGCCAGCAGCCGCGGUAAUACGGAGGGUGCAAGCGUUAAUCGGAAUUACUGGGCGUAAAGCGCACGCAGGCGGUCUGUUAAGUCAGAUGUGAAAUCCCCGGGCUUAACCUGGGAACUGCAUUUUGAACUGGCAGGCUUGAGUCUUGUAGAGGGGGUAGAAUUCCAGGUGUAGCGGUGAAAUGCGUAGAGAUCUGGAGGAAUACCGGUGGCGAAGGCGGCCCCUGGGCAAAGCUGACGCUCAGGUGCGAAAGCGUGGGGAGCGAAACAGGGAUUAGAUACC